rnacentral:lncRNA from 1 species
AGAAAUCCCACAUCAAGCUGUUGCACACUGAAGCUGCAAAAAAAAAAUUAAUCUGAAAUUUCCCAGAAAAAUUACUUUUAAGAUAAGAUUUCUCUGUCAUGUGAUAUAAAGAAACAUUCAAAGAUUACUAAAUCUGUGAAUGGUGGGUAGUUUAUGUUUUAAUAAAUUUAUAUUAUUCAAGAAUAAUAUAAAUGUAAAUAAUCAAUGCAAAGUUCAAAAACCUUCAAAACAUAUCUCAAUAUAUAUUAUUGUGUAUUGGCUUCAAUGUAUAAGUAUUAAUAAGUAUUCAGUUGACAAGUAUUAGUAAGUUUAAUAAGUGAAUGAAUGAGGGAAUACUCUAACUUCUAUAUUUUUUCAUCUUUAAUAUUCUUUACAAAACAGUUUCCCUUAUUUGAAAUUAUUAUACAAAAUUCAUGUGUGAGUUUCUAAAAAGGAAAGAAAGAAAAUCUAACUUUUCUUCAUUAUAAAUCAUGCUUCAUAGAAAACAAGAAGAUUGAGAUUAUGAUCAUUGUUCUGCCAAAAGUAUUUUUGUGCCCAAGCUCCUUAACUAAUCUGAUAUAUUUUUUAUGUAUGUAUAAAUGUGAAAAGUGAGAAUUUAGUUAAAGUACAUGUAAGUCUCUAUGAUCCACUCAUUUUUAACUCUGAAAUUUCAGAAGAAAGUAUUUCUUUAAAGGUUGUUCUUUAUUUUUUCUGUUUAACUUUCAAAUGGUAUUUUAAAAGUUGUAAGAUAAGAAGAACUGGUUUCAUAUCAUCCCAUCAGGUAGAUUUUCUUCUUUUCUUUUCUCUUUUCUUUUCUUUCCUUUCCUUUUCUUUCUUUUUUGUUUCUGUUCUGUUUUUUUUAGAGCUGCACCCUUGGCAUAUGAAGGUUCCCAGGCUAGGGGUCCAAUCAGGGCUGUAGCUGCUGGCCUAUGCCAGAGCCACAGCAAAGCGGGAUCCGAGCUCCCUGUCUGCGACCUGCAUCACAGCUCAGGGCAAUGCCGGAUCCUUACCCACUGAGUGAGGCCAGGGAUCAAACUUGUUUCCUCAUGGAUGUUAGUCGGGUUCCUUAACUGCUGAGCCAUGAUGAGAAUUCCCAGGUGGAUUUUCAGUAUAACUCCUCACAGAGUUUUCAUGUCUCUGAGACACCAAUACGAUCUAUUCUGUUUUACAAUGCUUCUUUUUUCUCUUCUCUUCUUUUCUUUUUGUAAAAUGGUGAUAGAUACAGUUUUUGAAAAAUACAUUUAAAAAAUCUUUAUUCACCAUUUCAUCAUUAAUAAUUUACUAGGACUCAACACAAGAAUAUAUUAAAGGAACUAAAUUAGAUGCUCAGUUUUAAUGAGUCUGCAAGAAUUUGGUUGUCAUAGCAUACUAGGUUUACUGGGAAAGGAUUCCAGCUGAUGGUUUUUUAAUCAGAAGAAGGUAAGGCAAACCCUGUUUUUAUUAGCAGCUUUUCCCAAACACCAGGAUAAAGUAGCAAUGUAUGAGUUUAAAUGUUGAAAAUUUACUGAGUUACUGGUAAAGAAAUAUGUUUAAACAAUAUUUCUUCAUUGAAAGAGUGUUAUUCUUUCCCCAGGAAACCAGCUGGAGAGUAAAGCAAUACUCUUCUACUUUGUUACCAAAUUAUAGCAUUCAUUUAUGUGUUUACCUUUGCUGUAGGCAAAGGUAAACACAUAGUAUUCACAGCUCAACAUCCUCUUAUUUAAAAAAAUGAAUAACACAUCUAAUAUAUUUUACCAGUCAGCUGAUCCUGGCAGUUUCUAAGCAUACUCCUUGUCUCAGAGAGAUGUACUUGCCUUGUCUUCUGCAGAGCUGGCUGCAAAGGCAGUGUUCUGGCCUGAGGCCAGGUGCUUCUCUCUGGCGUGAGCCCUGCCUGUCUCCUAGCAAGCAUUGAGUGAGGCAAACCCAACAGCAAAAUAUCUUUCAGGUGCAUAGAGAAAUACACAUUUGAUAUUUUUUUCAAGGACAAAAUUUGAAGGAAAACACAUGCUAUAUGCUCUAAAACACACACAACCUAGGCUGCAAUGGAUAGGAUAUAUAUGAAAAGAUAAAACUUCAAACUGAAGGUUAAUAAAAGUAAGCAAUGAAUGAAUAAUUGAGGAAAUAAUUUUGAUUAAUAGAUAACUAUGGAUAUAUUGCCUGAAAUUUAUGAAUUUUUAUGCUUGAAAUAUGAGACAUUCAAUUAAAAUAAAUUCCCUCUUGUUCUCACUGUAUCUAAGUCCCUUCUCUUUUUCUAGCUAUUAGUACUCUAAGUUUGAUGAUCAAAAUCCUUUGAAAAAGCAAAACCAUUUAUUAGUAUUAGAAGUCUUUUACACAAAUUAUUCUUGGAUAUAAUGUAAUAGAAUAUUAUUUUUAGAAAUUAUUUUGAUUGUUUUAAUUACAAAGUAUUAGAAGGAAAUUAAAUCAACCAUAAAAAACAAUAUUUCUUUAACUAUUAUACAAUAUAAAUAUGUUGGAAAACGUAUAUAGGCUUUGCUAUGUCAUACUCAUGAUUCCAUGUUUCAUUAACAAAGAUAAAGCAGUAAAUGUAGUAAUUCAUACCAAACAUGAAAACAAAAGGUUCAAGACUACCCAACUUUUCCAAAAAAUAUGUAAAUUAUUACAGAUAACUUCCAUAAUUUUGAAAGCUGGUCAUUGAAAUAUAUUUUAUUGCCAUAAGUAUUUGAAAUGGCUUUUCUCUCAUUAAAAGAAAGAUUGAGUAAAAAUUUAGAUUUAUCAUCUAAAUGACUCAGUACUAUCUGAAGUUAAAAUCUCAUCCAAGCACUAAAUCUCAAAAAAAUUAAUCUUGAGAUGAAUUAAUACUUAUUUUAGUAAAUGAGGUAAAUUAAAAGUAGAAAUACAAGGUAACUUCACAGUUAUAAUAUUUCAAAUGGAAACUAGUUUCUUUUUAUGUUGUAAGCUACUCUGCUGUGGAAUUCUUAGUCAGCUACUAUUCUGUAUGAUCUCAGAUAACAACCUUUCUGGCAGUCUCACCAUGUCUAAUUUAAGCUGAAUUGCUUAAACUACCUGACAGUCAGCACCACCGAACAAGUAGAGUUUCAUGUUAAAAAUAUAAACAUAUUAAAGACAUUGAUUUUUCCUAGUUUUAAAAGUUAUAAACUUUUUUAAGUCAGUAGAGAGCACAUUGAGGAAUUUGAUCUGUAACUUAUGCAUACCUGAUUCUUAAAAUCAAUGAAAAUUUUAAUUUCAUCUCUGGAUCAAAAUUAUGAGGAGGAUAAUAAUUUUGAUUAUUAUUUUAAAUAAUAUAAUUAAAAUUUGAUUAUUAUUAUGAGGUUUUUUACUUUACAAAAAUGAAGUCAUUUAUGCAGUCUUGUUGGUUCAGUUCUUAGGAAUAGAUGUGCAUCUGAUGUAAAAAAAUGUUAUUUGUUAGAAAUUCAUGGGCAGCAACUUUAACUGAGGAGGAAAUUCUUUUUGCACUUUAGAUUCUUGAGCACCAUGUGUUCAGACAGUUCCUCUCUCUUUGCUUGUCUCUGAGACAGACAAUUUAUAUUGUGCCAUCUGGAAGGAUUAUAGGCAACAACCUAAACAAAAUGCAUUUUAAAAAAUUGCAAGCUAUAUAUCCAAUUGAAAAAAAAAUAUCAGUGCUACCUAAGGCCUUUUUAAUAUUUUGCCUAAUUCUGCUCGUUUGAUCCACUGAUGUGUUUUGGGAUGCCUACUUUUUGGAAAUCUUGUUUUGAUGACUGUCUAAUCUCUCAGAUAAUCUUUUUAUGAAGUAACAUAUGUGUUGGAAUUUAUCCAAAAGAGAUAUUACUGCCUUCUGAGAAAAGGAUUAAAUUGUUCUAGCCCAAGGAGUUUCUCUUCAAAUAUGG